rnacentral:rRNA from 1 species
CCAGACUCCUACGGGAGGCAGCAGUGGGGAAUAUUGCACAAUGGGCGAAAGCCUGAUGCAGCAACGCCGCGUGAAGGAAGAAGGGUUUCGGCUCGUAAACUUCUAUCAACAGGGACGAAAGAAAUGACGGUACCUGAAGAAGAAGCCCCGGCUAACUACGUGCCAGCAGCCGCGGUAAUACGUAGGGGGCAAGCGUUAUCCGGAUUUACUGGGUGUAAAGGGGGCGCAGACGGCGAUGCAAGCCAGGAGUGAAAGCCCGGGGCCCAACCCCGGGACUGCUCUUGGAACUGCGUGGCUGGAGUGCAGGAGGGGCAGGCGGAAUUCCUGGUGUAGCGGUGAAAUGCGUAGAUAUCAGGAGGAACACCGGUGGCGAAGGCGGUCUGCUGGACAGCAACUGACGCUGAGGCGCGAAAGCGUGGGGAGCAAACAGGAUUAGAUACCCUUGUA